rnacentral:rRNA from 1 species
UACGGAGGGUGCGAGCGUUGUUCGGAAUUAUUGGGCGUAAAGCGCACGUAGGCGGCUGGGUAAGUCUCACUGUGAAAGCCCGGGGCUCAACCCCGGGAGGCCAGGGGAUACUGCUCGGCUAGAGACAGGCAGAGGCUGGCGGAAUUCCGGGUGUAGCGGUGGAAUGCGUAGAGAUCCGGAGGAACACCUGAGGCGAAGGCGGCCAGCUGGGCCUGAUCUGACGCUGAGGUGCGAAAGCGUGGGGAGCGAACAGG